GACGAACGCUGGCGGCGUGCCUAAUACAUGCAAGUCGAACGAACCGCGACUAAGUGCUUGCACUAAGUCAAGGUGAGUGGCGAACGGGUGAGUAACACGUGGGUAACCUACCUCAUAGUGGGGGAUAACAGUCGGAAACGACUGCUAAUACCGCAUAGGACAUAGGAUCACAUGAUCCAGUGAGGAAAGGUGGCGCAAGCUAUCGCUAAGAGAUGGACCCGCGGUGCAUUAGCUAGUUGGUAGGGUAAAGGCCUACCAAGGCGAUGAUGCAUAGCCGACCUGAGAGGGUGAUCGGCCACAUUGGGACUGAGACACGGCCCAAACUCCUACGGGAGGCAGCAGUAGGGAAUCUUCCGCAAUGGACGCAAGUCUGACGGAGCAACGCCGCGUGAGUGAAGAAGGUCUUCGGAUCGUAAAGCUCUGUUGUUAGAGAAGAACAGCGCAUAGAGUAACUGCUAUGCGUGUGACGGUAUCUAACCAGAAAGCCACGGCUAAUUACGUG
rnacentral:rRNA from 1 species